AACUCGUCAUCAACCCCACGGCAUUCAAUUAAAAUAUUACUCUAUGAUUAUUUCUGAACUUUUAUCAACUUCCCCCCCACUGAUUACUUUUUCCUGUACUCUCAUUCCAUUUCUUUUCCUCUCGACCCCAGGAUGUUUUCUCAACAAGUUUCUAUUUAUUAUUCGACACCGUUACGAUAACUCAAGCAAAUAUGUACAUUUAUCACCGCCUUUAAAACCACGGAUCAAACCAAUAAACUUCCCAAAGAUAUUGAAGACCCCAAAUAAUUAUCACGCAAUUAGUCGCUAUAAUUAGCUAUCCAAGAACGAAAGUAAUAACACAACAAAUGUCUAUAUAGUAGCGUCCAGCAUAUCAUUGAUAAUAAAGAGGUUAUGGGAAUGGGAGACUGCUGCUGCUAUAACCCUACAUCAAGAGAGUAACUCCACGUGGAAAAAUUUUUAAGACUUUGUUUGGCCGUUGCGCAAAAGCUUUAUUGAAAGCAAAUGUUUGUGUCCGCACAUAUGCAACGAGGAAUGAAUAGUGUAAAGCAACGAAUACGGUAGUGGGGUUCCCGUAGCGACGGUGCGAGGUGAGAGUGUACGGGGGUGGGGCAUCAGAAACGAUCCUCAGUAGCGUAUUGGUCGCGUGUUGCUCGGCAAUUACAACCGCUACUCGUGAAUCCCGGUGGUGAUGCACGUCUCGCGCUGGAUUGUUGUUAUGACUGAGUCUGCAGUGUGUCUAUCAUACAAGAAGAAACCUCAGUUGUCGAAGAGAGGAACAAAUUGUUCAUUGUGAUUGUUGAUUGUGUUGCUGUUGUCCCAGGAUCAAUGCAAAUGAGAUUCAUUGUCGGCAAGAAACACAAGGACCCCCUCGGCAUAGUUCGGUAAUCUUCGUUCGAGCGGAAAAAAAGGACGGCGGUCGCCACUGAAAUUUUAUCUGUCUGGCCGGGCGUAUGGGCUUGCAAAUUCUUUUCUUCGUCGGGCAGACAACAAGUAAUUCUAGAUGUCAGUGAUGUAUCUAGAACUUUGACAUGCCCGGAUUAGAUUAGCCAUUCUUUUGCUUUUCAUCGUCAUAACCGGCUUCCGAAUAUACACGCGACGUAUGUAAAUACAUAUGGGCAUUAAUAUCCGCGCGUCGCAACCUUUGAACACAAUUUUUCGUGCAUGGAAACCCUCGAAGUGCCGUAAAUAUUUACUUUGCAUAUCAGUCAAGAUAGAUAAGGCAAAAAUAAUUAAAGUAAUUAAUUACGAUCUUCUUUUAAUAUUUGCAUAUUUCAGGGACAUGAUGUCAUCGUUUCUAAUAGAUACGGAUCCACGAUGAAUUAGGACUUUACUCUUCCGUAUGAACAAAGCAUAUCUUUUUUAUUCGAUACGUAAAUUUAUUUGAAUUUUUUUCUAUCGAAUGGUAAGGUAGACGUCCCAAUUACCGGCCAUCUUGGAUUACGAGCAAAUUCAAAAUUAUUUUUCUGAUUAAAGAGAAAUUUUUUUUUUAUAAAUGAAUCUAACUAAUUGAAAGCUUACAACCUCUAGCCUCUGAAAACCAUUUGUUAAUUAAUUUUAUGGGCAGUAGUUUAUUCAUAAUUUUUUAAAAUAGCGAGGAAAGAAAGUGUACCAAUACGUGGCCAUAGAUUUUUUUUACGUCCCAAUACUCGACCAUCGCAUGUCCCUAAUAUCAGCCAGUCAGAGGUGCAAGUUGAAUCGACUCAUUUAAUUGUAUUAUUUAUUUCAUUUUUUACUUUUAAAAUACUGUACAUCAAAUAAACAUAUUUAGUAUCGUAAAUAUAUGUACUAGAAAUAUAAAACUGUAUUUUUUUUACUAAAUACAUAUUACGUAACCAUAUGAGGUGUUUUUUAUUUUUGUGAUCGCUUCCUUCUUGCUUGAUUUUCUUUUUUCAA